GAUGAACGCUGGCGGCGUGCCUAAUACAUGCAAGUCGAGCGAACAGACGAGGAGCUUGCUCCUCUGAUGUUAGCGGCGGACGGGUGAGUAACACGUGGAUAACCUACCUAUAAUACUGGGAUAACUUCGGGAAACCGGAGCUAAUACCGGAUAACAUGUUGAACCGCAUGGUUCAACAGUGAAAGACGGUCUUGCUGUCACUUAUAGAUGGAUCUCCGCCGCAUUAGCUAGUUGUUAAGGUAACGGCUUACCAAGGCAACGAUGCGUAGACGACCUGAGAGGGGGAUCGGCCACACUGGAGCUGAGACACGGUCCAGACUCCUACGGGAGGCAGCAGUAGGGAAUCUUCCGCAAUGGGCGAAAGCCUGACGGAGCAACGCCGCGUGAGUGAAGAAGGUCUUCGGAGCGUAAAACUCUGUUAUGAGGGAAGAACAAAUGUGUAAGUAACUAUGCACGUCUUGACGGUACCUAAUCAGAAAGCCACGGCUAACUACGUG
rnacentral:rRNA from 1 species